GAUGAACGCUGGCGGCGUGCUUAACACAUGCAAGUCGAACGGAAAGGCCCAAGCUUGCUUGGGUACUCGAGUGGCGAACGGGUGAGUAACACGUGGGUGGUCUGCCCUGCACUUCGGGAUAAGCCUGGGGAACUGGGUCUAAUACCGGAUAGGACCACUUCUAGGACGUUGUUGUGUAAAGUUAUUCCGGUGUGGGAUGAGCUCGCGGUCUAUCAGCUUGUUGUUGGGGUAAUGGCCUACCAAGGCGUCGACGGGUAGCCGGACUGAGAGGGUGUACGGCCAUAUUGAGUCUGAGAUGCGGCACAGGCACCUACGGGAGGCAGCAGUGGGGAAUAUUGCAGAAUGAGCGCAAGCCUGGUGAAGCGACGCCGCGUGGGGGAUGACGCCCUUCGGGUUGUAAACUCCUUUCGCUAGGGACGAAGCGUUUUGUGACGGUACCUGGAGAAGAAGCACCGGCUAACUACGUG
rnacentral:rRNA from 1 species